CGGAAACUGCGAACGGCUCAUUAAAUCAGUUGCGAUCUACUCGGCGUUCCGCGCCGCCGGAUAACCGUAGUAAUUCUAGGGCUAAUACGUGCGAAGCGCCCGAAGCCGCGAGGCGACGGGCGUUCUCGCCGGAUGUAGGAACCGACCCGGGGACCGCCGGGGCAACCCGGCGCCCCCGAGACGGGGCGAACCACGGUGAAAUGACGGAUCGUCGGCCCCGCGCCGGCGACUCGCCGAAUGAGUUUCUGACCUAUCAACUCGAGACGGCGGGGUAGAGGCCCCGCCGCGGUAACGACGGGUAACGGGGAAUCAGGGUUCGAUUCCGGAGAGGGAGCCCGAGAAACGGCUACCACUUCCAAGGAAGGCAGCAGGCGCGCAACUUACCCUAAUCUCGAUUCGAGGAGGUAGUGACAAGAAAUACCGAUGCGGGACCCUACGGGUGCCGCGUUCGGAAUGAGUACGAUUCGAACCACCUAACGAGGAACGAUCGGAGGGCAAGUCUGGUGCCAGCAGCCGCGGUAAUUCCAGCUCCAAUAGCG
rnacentral:rRNA from 1 species